rnacentral:rRNA from 1 species
AUUGAACGCUGGCGGCAUGCCUUACACAUGCAAGUCGAACGGCAGCACGGGUGCUUGCACCUGGUGGCGAGUGGCGAACGGGUGAGUAAUACAUCGGAACAUGUCCUGUAGUGGGGGAUAGCCCGGCGAAAGCCGGAUUAAUACCGCAUACGAUCUACGGAUGACAGCGGGGGACCUUCGGGCCUCGCGCUAUAGGGUUGGCCGAUGGCGGAUUAGCUAGUUGGUGGGGUAAAGGCCUACCAAGGCGACGAUCAGUAACUGGUCUGAGAGGACGACCAGCCACACUGGGACUGAGACACGGCCCAGACUCCUACGGGAGGCAGCAGUGGGGAAUUUUGGACAAUGGGCGAAAGCCUGAUCCAGCAAUGCCGCGUGUGUGAAGAAGGCCUUCGGGUUGUAAAGCACUUUUGUCCGGAAAGAAAUCCUUGGCCCUAAUACGGUCGGGGGAUGACGGUACCGGAAGAAUAAGCACCGGCUAACUACGUG